CAAGCAACAUUAAUGUGUGAGUCCCAUGAGAAGGCUUUCGUUUUUACCAUAUCCUACAGGGCUGAUUAUAACAGCUGUGGCUUAUUCAGGACUCACCCCCUGUUGUCAUUCAGUUUCCGGGAAGCAGUAUAAGAUGAGGAGACUCUUGAUCUCCUGAAGUUUGAGAGAGUUGAAGGCUAAUGCACAUUUGGCCUGAUUAAAAUUCCACUUUUUGCUAUUAUCACUAACACUUAUGGUUGACUGUAGAGUUGGCUGAACAUGUCUUUCUGCACACCAACUAGAAAGUGUUUAUAGAGUGAGUUCA
rnacentral:lncRNA from 1 species